GAGGAAAAGAAAUCAACCGAGAUUCCCCCAGUAGCGGCGAGCGAACGGGGAGGAGCCCAGAGCCUGAAUCAGCAUGUGUGUUAGUGGAAGCGUCUGGAAAGGCGCGCGAUACAGGGUGACAGCCCCGUACACAAAAGCGCAUGUGCUGUGAGCUCGAUGAGUAGGGCGGGACACGUGGUAUCCUGUCUGAAUAUGGGGGGACCAUCCUCCAAGGCUAAAUACUCCUGACUGACCGAUAGUGAACCAGUACCGUGAGGGAAAGGCGAAAAGAACCCCGGCGAGGGGAGUGAAAAAGAACCUGAAACCGUGUACGUACAAGCAGUGGGAGCACAGGUUUACCUGUGUGACUGCGUACCUUUUGUAUAAUGGGUCAGCGACUUAUAUUCUGUAGCAAGGUUAACCGUAUAGGGGAGCCGGAGGGAAACCGAGUCUUAACCGGGCGUUAAGUUGCAGGGUAUAGACCCGAAACCCGGUGAUCUAGCCAUGGGCAGGUUGAAGGUUGGGUAACACUAACUGGAGGACCGAACCGACUAAUGUUGAAAAAUUAGCGGAUGACCUGUGGCUGGGGGUGAAAGGCCAAUCAAACCGGGAGAUAGCUGGUUCUCCCCGAAAGCUAUUUAGGUAGCGCCUCGUGAAUUCAUCUCCGGGGGUAGAGCACUGUUUCGGCUAGGGGGCCAUCCCGGCUUACCAACCCGAUGCAAACUGCGAAUACCGGAGAAUGUUAUCACGGGAGACACACGGCGGGUGCUAACGUCCGUCGUGAAGAGGGAAACAACCCAGACCGCCAGCUAAGGUCCCAAAGUCAUGGUUAAGUGGGAAACGAUGUGGGAAGGCCCAGACAGCCAGGAUGUUGGCUUAGAAGCAGCCAUCAUUUAAAGAAAGCGUAAUAGCUCACUGGUCGAGUCGGCCUGCGCGGAAGAUGUAACGGGGCUAAACCAUGCACCGAAGCUGCGGCAGCGACACUCAGGUGUUGUUGGGUAGGGGAGCGUUCUGUAAGCCUGUGAAGGUGGCCUGUGAGGGUUGCUGGAGGUAUCAGAAGUGCGAAUGCUGACAUAAGUAACGAUAAAGCGGGUGAAAAGCCCGCUCGCCGGAAGACCAAGGGUUCCUGUCCAACGUUAAUCGGGGCAGGGUGAGUCGACCCCUAAGGCGAGGCCGAAAGGCGUAGUCGAUGGGAAACGGGUUAAUAUUCCCGUACUUGGUGUUACUGCGAAGGGGGGGACGGAGAAGGCUAUGUUGGCCGGGCGACGGUUGUCCCGGUUUAAGCGUGUAGGUGUGUGUUCCAGGUAAAUCCGGUUCACUUUAACACUGAGGCGUGACGACGAGGCACUACGGUGCUGAAGCAACAAAUGCCCUGCUUCCAGGAAAAGCCUCUAAGCAUCAGGUAACAUCAAAUCGUACCCCAAACCGACACAGGUGGUCAGGUAGAGAAUACCAAGGCGCUUGAGAGAACUCGGGUGAAGGAACUAGGCAAAAUGGUGCCGUAACUUCGGGAGAAGGCACGCUGACACGUAGGUGAAGUGAUUUACUCAUGGAGCUGAAGUCAGUCGAAGAUACCAGCUGGCUGCAACUGUUUAUUAAAAACACAGCACUGUGCAAACACGAAAGUGGACGUAUACGGUGUGACGCCUGCCCGGUGCCGGAAGGUUAAUUGAUGGGGUCAGCGCAAGCGAAGCUCCUGAUCGAAGCCCCGGUAAACGGCGGCCGUAACUAUAACGGUCCUAAGGUAGCGAAAUUCCUUGUCGGGUAAGUUCCGACCUGCACGAAUGGCGUAAUGAUGGCCAGGCUGUCUCCACCCGAGACUCAGUGAAAUUGAACUCGCUGUGAAGAUGCAGUGUACCCGCGGCAAGACGGAAAGACCCCGUGAACCUUUACUAUAGCUUGACACUGAACAUUGAGCCUUGAUGUGUAGGAUAGGUGGGAGGCUUUGAAGUGUGGACGCCAGUCUGCAUGGAGCCGACCUUGAAAUACCACCCUUUAAUGUUUGAUGUUCUAACGUGGACCCGUUACCCGGGUUGCGGACAGUGUCUGGUGGGUAGUUUGACUGGGGCGGUCUCCUCCUAAAGAGUAACGGAGGAGCACGAAGGUUGGCUAAUCCUGGUCGGACAUCAGGAGGUUAGUGCAAUGGCAUAAGCCAGCUUGACUGCGAGCGUGACGGCGCGAGCAGGUGCGAAAGCAGGUCAUAGUGAUCCGGUGGUUCUGAAUGGAAGGGCCAUCGCUCAACGGAUAAAAGGUACUCCGGGGAUAACAGGCUGAUACCGCCCAAGAGUUCAUAUCGACGGCGGUGUUUGGCACCUCGAUGUCGGCUCAUCACAUCCUGGGGCUGAAGUAGGUCCCAAGGGUAUGGCUGUUCGCCAUUUAAAGUGGUACGCGAGCUGGGUUUAGAACGUCGUGAGACAGUUCGGUCCCUAUCUGCCGUGGGCGCUGGAGAACUGAGGGGGGCUGCUCCUAGUACGAGAGGACCGGAGUGGACGCAUCACUGGUGUUCGGGUUGUCAUGCCAAUGGCACUGCCCGGUAGCUAAAUGCGGAAGAGAUAAGUGCUGAAAGCAUCUAAGCACGAAA
rnacentral:rRNA from 1 species